CUCCAGAUGUUGCUGAACUACAACUUCCAUCAUCAUCCCUGACUAUUGGCUGUGCUUGCUGGGGCUGAUGGGAAUUGUAGUUCAGCAACAUCUGGAG